rnacentral:rRNA from 1 species
GACGAACGCUGGCGGCGUGCCUAAUACAUGCAAGUCGAGCGAAGUUUUUCUGGUGCUUGCACCGGAAAAACUUAGCGGCGAACGGGUGAGUAACACGUAAAGAACCUGCCUCAUAGACUGGGACAACUAUUGGAAACGAUAGCUAAUACCGGAUAAUAGCAUUAACUGCAUGGUUGAUGUUUAAAAGUUGGUUUUGCUAACACUAUGAGAUGGCUUUGCGGUGCAUUAGCUAGUUGGUGGGGUAAAGGCCUACCAAGGCGACGAUGCAUAGCCGACCUGAGAGGGUGAUCGGCCACACUGGGACUGAGACACGGCCCAGACUCCUACGGGAGGCAGCAGUAGGGAAUCUUCCGCAAUGGGCGAAAGCCUGACGGAGCAACGCCGCGUGAGUGAAGAAGGAUUUCGGUUCGUAAAGCUCUGUUGUUAGGGAAGAAUGAUUGUGUAGUAACUAUACACAGUAGAGACGGUAUCUAACCAGAAAGCCACGGCUAACUACGUG